UGCGCAAAGUCUUGUCGAUUUCAGGGUCAAACUCAAAAAGAGGAUUUCCUUGAGAUCUAGUGUUCAUACGCAGCCUACAGAAACACACCUUAAAAAAAUUAGAACAGAAAAAUAAAAACAAAUAAAAACCUGAAGUACUAUAAAAUCCUAUCGGAAAUAUUAAAGUAAUUUCUAAUCAAUCCCCGGCAACGGCGCCAAAAAGUUGAUCACUAAAUUAUUAGCACAAAAUACCGCAACUAACACGGUGUAAUUGUAGCACAGAAAUAGUAACCAGAUAUCGUAUCCACAGGGAUUGACACAACGAAACGACUUUAUCU
rnacentral:lncRNA from 1 species